rnacentral:lncRNA from 1 species
GACACAACGACGUCUACUUUGUUCCUUGGUCAGUCGAUGGCCUGCGGGUGUCUGCUGGUGUCUGGCCGUGUGCUCUUUCUCGACGUACAGCUGUUUGUAAAUGCCUGUCCUCAUUUAGGUCCAUGGGCACAGGCCCGAGGUUGUAGCCCUUGCCAGGGAUCCUGCCCUUCUCUACUCAGCACUUCGCUGCCCCUCUCCUGAAUCACAUCAAUUAAGAACUUUCUUCACCACCCCUUCGCUGUCAUCCUUUUCUCUCCACUAUUCACCCAACAUCAUCCGGGACCAGAACUAAUGUCAGCAAAGCAGGGGAAGGAAGUAAACUUCUAGGAGUAGAAGAAAGGAUGAAAAAGCCAACCACAACCCCCUUUCUUCAUUAAAGGCUUCCCUCUACCGUACUCGAAAACAACUUUGCCAUUUUGAUAAUCAAAUGAAAAAGUAUAGUUUCUAACUCUGUACUAUUUGUACACUAUUUGUACUUUCUAAAUCUAUACUAUUCGUAUUAUUUAAAAGUGACCAUAAAUAUUAUAA